rnacentral:misc_RNA from 1 species
AGGGACAUACGUGACGGAGGCGACUGGGUUCUACAGCGGCAACAUUGGCACUAGCGUGAGCUUUGGAGGCGUAACGCUCAACCCCGGUGCCAAAAUUGAGCUCUUUGCGGCCACAACUAACAUCCUGUAUGUGCCCGAGAGAAAGGUCUUGGGCGGCAAUCUGGGAUUGUCAGUGAGCGUUCCUGUUGGUCACAACGACACCGAGGCGACACUGGGUGGGCCAUUUGGGUUGUCACGCUCGGUUGAUGGCUGGGGCUUUGGCGACGUUGUGCCGAAGGUCCAACUCGGAUGGCAGCACGGCGACUUCGCCCAUACCAUUUAUCUGCAGGCGGUUACCCCAACGGGUCGCUGGGACGCAGGGUUCUCCCCGAUCAUCGGUUUGCAUCGU